UUGGCCAUGAACUGACAGAGGGAGUUUUCCAGACAAAUGGAUGAGAGUUUGUAUUUCUGAUAAGGAGUUCAUUGUAGACUGAAAUAUUUUAAGGAUUGAUGAAAUUGGAUUCUAGUGGGAAGAUCUAAUGAUUAGGUCUGGCUUCAGAUAAAAGACAUCCCACCAAUACUGACGCUCCAUCCAUGCCUGGCUGGUUUUGGAACAUUGUCUUUGGUUUCCCAGGCUUCAGGAGCUUCACCUUUGUCUCAUUUCUCACUGCCAGUAAAUUUCCUGUGACUCGUUAGUCUCUAACUAGUAGGUCAGGACCAGGAGCUUGAACCCAGGUCCUUGUGCACUGUAGUGUGUGCGCUCAACCAGGUGCGCCACCACCUGGCCCCAAUAGCACAUUUCUAAAGAGGAGUCCUGGAGGCUGGUUAUGGAGUAGCAGUUGUCAUGUUUUUGCUCUUCCCGAUCGCCUAGGAAAAACAACGUAGUCAUUUGGAAACUCAACAAAAUAUGACCGGGAUCUGUUCAGACUCAUCAAGCCAUAGAAAAUUAAUUUGUGACCGACACCACUGUAACAGUCUGGAUGGAGAUCCUUGCUCUAGUGACCUGGACCGUGGCAGGAUGAACGUGACCCUUCUUCAGCUAUAAGCACAAGCUAGUAAUAUUCUGUGUGAGGUCAACCUGAGUUUCUAACCCAUCAGUUGAAUGGGAAAUCAGAAAAGAUAAUUCCUAAAUUAUAGAUCAUGAAAAAAAGUGACUGUUUUGAAUCAAACUGGAACCACGGUUUUACUAAACACUCUGAAAUGCUCUCGUUGCUUUCCAUGUGGUGACUUACUUAUUCCUCAAAGUCAUCCUAAAGGAAGAACUAUUUUCACCCUGAAUUUAGAUCAGAGUAAAAGAUAGGCUAACAUAAGAAUAACUUGCCAAUGAUUUUUUCAGAUUCAUAAAUUAGAUUUCAAACCCAGCCUGUUUAUCUGUACAUCUCUGUCAACCCUACCAUUCUAUUCAUAUGAGAAAUCAUUUUGUCUUUGUUUUUACACUCUCAU